rnacentral:ncRNA from 2 species
GUUCUGGGCCGCACGCGCGCUACA